CUUUUCUUCUAGAGUUUCGGAGCCUCGAACAGAUAUAAUUUAAAUUAUAUUCAAUAAAGAUAUCUCCUACCUCUGUAUUGAUUUGCACCCCCAAUAUAAGGAAUCAACGAAGGAAUUACAAUCCAUCCGCCCGAAAGUGAAAGAAAAAUCAGUACAUCUGAACAAAUUCCUUCAAAAUUCUGUUCGUAAUAUUCCUUGGUGUGUUACUAAGUGUAAUGGUUUUAUAUGUUUUAUACUUUUAUGGAUGGAAGUCAUAUGGAAAGUGAUGACAAGGAUCCACAGCAUUCUUGGAAGGUCUCUUAAAGGGCUCAGUGGAGCUACGGGAAGUCUGGGAAGCUACCGCAAGCUAGCAAAAGCUGGCAGCUAUGACACAAAAGUUACCAAAAAUGCCCGCGAACUGAUAGAGGGCGCUACCAACGAAACGGAAAUUUGAAAUUGGCGCCACUGGUGAAUGCAGGUUUUGUGAAAUCUCCACAGAAAAUAGGUUUUUGCGCCUGACCACAUAAUAAUUUGAAGAGAUCUAUAAAGAUAGAAGCCCCCUUGGGCAUUCCUGUUCUUUUCAAAGUCCCAAGAAAUUUAUGGAAGACACUUUUGAUAGCAAGUAUGUAAAUGAAUUGGAUGCAACUUUGUUGCAACCAAAUCGCACCGAGAUCGGGUCGCUCAACUGCUAAAGUCCAUCCUCCAUGAGGCUAAGCCUUGGUUGAUUGACUUCUCUUGUUAUUAAACCGCCCAACCCCCGUGCCUCAGGACAGACCGCCUUCCCCCCCUCAAUUUUCUCAUGGAAAUUAUGCAAAUAGGAAAAGUGUCAAACGCAUUGUGGUGCUGGGUGAUGCCCCAUCAUGGAGGCCCGUCAAAUAAAUCAAAUUUGACUACAUCCAACCCGGUUUUUCCACCCCAUUCCAAGUUCAGUGGCGCCUUGUAGGAGGAGGCGGGGUGGCGGGUGCUGGCCAGAAAUGGGCGAUAAAUCAAGAGUUCAGUAAACGCUUUUCAGUAUAUCCGACUGAAACCGAAGAGUCACUGCCAAUCAAGAUACAUAUUUUUGCAUGUGGAAUUACACAACACGUGAGUUACGACGACGAAGACGACAGCGAUUGUCAGAGCAAUGAACUUGGACUCCUCCAGAGAUCGGCCGGCACGCUUGACUGGGGACAGACACAGAGACCUCUGCGUUGUGAGCAGGAGCAGUCAGAACAAUCCAAAGAAAGGCAACAGAGAAGGCAACGUCUCCAGCAAACAUGUUUGGUCUGGUGGGGUGGCAGUGGCAGCCCCACAACUGAUUGCCACAUGUGUGUUGUUGCCCCUGGUUCUGCCACAUGUGCUGGUUGAUCUUGCUGGGGGAAGCAGCGGGGAGCAUAUUCGUUUCGCAAUUGAGUUCCUUCUGCCUCCAACAGGUUUACGUAUGCCUCUUUGAUCUGCACCUUCGCCUGGUACCUCCUUCUCUUCUGAGUCGUCUCUCUCUCUUUCUCUGGCGACUUUUGAUCUUUCGCACAAGUCGGAGGAGGAAUUGGAGGAGGCAUCCAAAGAGGUGGAGCUGCAGAAGGAGGAGAAGCUGGUCCCACAGUGGAGGAGAUGCGCCCAUUAGAGCUGCGGAGUCACUCAGGUGUGGCAUAAGCUCCAGGAGAAGCCAGACUGGAGCAGCAGAGAGGAUGAAAUAGACGAGUAGGCAGACACUGCCGGAGUCGGAGCCUAGCCCAUAAUUAAUAUUGUUGUAAAUUUGAUUUAACACUUCAUGGCCGAAACCAGUUGGCCAUAAGUCAAAGAACUGCAUUCUGGUCGCUCUAAAGAAUGUCUUAUCGCAGAGGAAUCUAUUUUCUGCCCCUCAAAACAGAACCAUGCAUCACAGUCAUUAAUUAAUUCACACACGUUUAAUUUGCAUUUUUUUGUGUGUUUUAAAUAAUGUAAAAAAAGAACAAAUUAAACAUUGUUUGCGUGGUAA